rnacentral:rRNA from 1 species
AGCGGCGGACGGGUGAGUAAUGCCUAGGAAUCUGCCCUUUUGUGGAGGAUAACCCGGGGAAACUCGGGCUAAUACUGCAUAAUCUCUACGGAGCAAAGCGGGGGAUCUUUUGACCUCGCGCAGAAGGAUGAGCCUAGGUCUGAUUAGCUUGUUGGUGGGGUAACGGCCUACCAAGGCGACGAUCAGUAGCUGGUCUGAGAGGAUGAUCAGCCACACCGGGACUGAGACACGGCCCGGACUCCUACGGGAGGCAGCAGUGGGGAAUAUUGGACAAUGGGCGAAAGCCUGAUCCAGCCAUGCCGCGUGUGUGAAGAAGGCCUUAGGGUUGUAAAGCACUUUAAGCAGGAAAGAAAAGCGCCGGAUUAAUACUCCGAGCGUAUUGACGGUACCUGCAGAAUAAGCACCGGCUAACUCCGUGCCAGCAGCCGCGGUAAUACGGAGGGUGCAAGCGUUAAUCGGAAUUACUGGGCGUAAAGCGUGCGUAGGCGGUUGCGUGUGUCAAAUGUGAAAGCCCCGGGCUCAACCUGGGAAUUGCAUUCGAAACUGCGUGACUAGAAUAUGGUAGAGGAAGAUGGAAUUCCACGUGUAGCGGUGAAAUGCGUAGAUAUGUGGAGGAACACCAAUGGCGAAGCAAUCUUCUGGGCCAAUAUUGACGCUGAGGUACGAAAGCGUGGGUAGCCAACCAGAUAGCAUACCUUGGUAGUCCACGCCGU